rnacentral:rRNA from 1 species
AUGGCCCUCGCGCUCCGCCUCCGUCGGGCCCUCGCCGCCGCCUCCACCUCCGCGUCCCUCCUCCGUCCGACCGCCUCCGCCGCGGCAUCCCCCCAUCGGCCCCCCCUCCUCGCCCCCUUCGUCGCGCCGCUGCCGCUCCCGCGCCUGUUCCUACCCGGGGGCGCCGCCGGCUUCCGGUCGACGGCGGCGGCAGCGGCACGGGGUAACUACGGCGGUGGGGCGGACGACGCCAAAAUCGACCCCGACGAGAUCCUCUUCGAGGGGUGCGACUACAACCACUGGCUCAUCACAAUGGAGUUCCCCAACCCCAAGCCCUCCCGCGAGGAGAUGAUCGAGACCUACCUGCAGACCCUCGCCAAGGUCGUCGGAAGUUAUGAGGAGGCUAAGAAGAGGAUGUAUGCUCUUAGUACAACAACAUAUGUUGGUUUUCAAGCUGUAAUGACUGAGGAAAUGUCAGAAAAGUUUCGCGGAUUGCCUGGAGUUGUUUUUAUCUUGCCUGAUUCAUAUUUAUACCCAGAGACAAAGGAGUAUGGAGGAGACAAAUAUGAGAAUGGUGUCAUAACUCCAAGACCACCACCUGUUCAGUAUAGCAAACUGUCAAGGAAUGAUAGAAACCGCAACUAUCGUGGGAAUUACGAAAACAGUCCUCCACCGCAAGGUAAUUACCAGAACAGUCCUCCACCUCACGGAAAUUACCAGAACAGGUCGCCACCACAAGGAAACUUCCAAGGGUCCCGCCCACAGCAAGAAGUAAGAGGCUACGCUCCACAGCAGAAUUACACACAAGCUGGACAAGAUGGUAGAGGUUAUGGGAGGAAUGAUUCCGCCGACCGUCCAGGUUACAAUGCACCUGGUGGGUACCAAGGGCGUGUAAAUGAAGCCGGUCAAGGUUUCCAAGAUCCACAAGAGCGCAGGAGUUUCUCGCAAGGACAGGAAGGAGAUCUCAGGCCUGGUGGCCCUUCAGCACCUGGAAAUUAUGGUCAACCACCUGCACCUGGAAAUUACGGUCAACCGCCUGCACCUGGAAAUUAUGGUCAACCGUCUGCACCUGGAUCCUAUGGGAAGCCAUUUGGACCUCCAGCUUAUGGGCAACCGUCUGGAUCGAGAUAUGCUGGAGGUAACCAAGGGGGUCCUGGUUAUGGUGGAGACAACAGACAGGGUGCAGCGCCUGCAUAUGGAGGAGAUAACUUACAAGGGGUUUCCGAUCAGUAUCCUAGCCCAGGUGAAGGACAACAAGGGAACUGA